UGGGGAAUAUUGCACAAUGGGCGCAAGCCUGAUGCAGCCAUGCCGCGUGUGUGAAGAAGGCCUUCGGGUUGUAAAGCACUUUCAGCGGGGAGGAAGGCGUUAAGGUUAAUAACCUCGGCGAUUGACGUUACCCGCAGAAGAAGCACCGGCUAACUCCGUUCCAGCAGCCGCGGUAAUACGGAGGGUGCAAGCGUUAAUCGGAAUUAUUGGGCGUAAAGCGCACGCAGGCGGUUUGCUAAGUCAGAUGUGAAAUCUCCGGGCUCAACCUGGGAACUGCAUCUGAUACUGGCAAGCUUGAGUCACGUAGCUGGGGGUAGAAUUCCAGGUGUGGCGGUGAAAUGCGUAGAGAUCUGGAGGAAUACCGGUGGCGAAGGCAGCCCCCAGGACGAAUACUGACGCUCAGGUGCGAACGCGUGAGGAGCAAACAGG
rnacentral:rRNA from 1 species